UACGAAGGGGGCUAGCGUUGUUCGGAAUCACUGGGCGUAAAGCGCACGUAGGCGGAUCUUUAAGUCAGGGGUGAAAUCCCGAGGCUCAACCUCGGAACUGCCUUUGAUACUGGGGAUCUCGAGUCCGGGAGAGGGUGAGUGGAACUGCGAGUGUAGAGGUGAAAUUCGUAGAUAUUCGCAAGAACACCAGUGGCGAAGGCGGACUCGACUGGCCCGGAACGUCGACGCUGAGGUGCGAAAGCGUGGGGAGCAAACAGGG
rnacentral:rRNA from 1 species